UACGUAGGGGGGCAAGCGUUGUCCGGAAUCAUUGGGCGUAAAGCGCGUGUAGGCGGUCCGAUAAGUCGGUUGUGAAAGUCAAGGGCUCAACCCUUGGAAUGCCGACGAUACUGUCGGGCUAGAGUCCGGAAGAGGCGAGUGGAAUUCCUGGUGUAGCGGUGAAAUGCGCAGAUAUCAGGAGGAACACCAAUGGCGAAGGCAGCUCGCUGGGACGGUACUGACGCUGAGACGCGAAAGCGUGGGGAGCAAACAGG
rnacentral:rRNA from 1 species